rnacentral:tRNA from 1 species
AUUUAUAUAAUAUAACUUUAAAGUAUAUUUAACUUCCAAUUAAAAAGCCUGAAAAAAUUCAGUAUAAAUA